GAUGAACGCUAGCGGCAGGCUUAAUACAUGCAAGUCGAACGGUAAGGUCUCUUCGGAGAUACACGAGUGGCGCACGGGUGCGUAACGCGUAUGCAACCUACCUUUAACUGGGAAAUAGCCCCGAGAAAUCGGGAUUAAUGUCCCAUAUUAUUCUGAGGAUACCUACACUUAGAAUGAAAGCUCCGGCGGUUAUUGAUGGGCAUGCGUGACAUUAGCUAGUUGGUGAGGUAACGGCUCACCAAGGCAACGAUGUCUAGGAGUCCUGAGAGGGUUAUCCCCCACACUGGUACUGAGACACGGAACAGACUCCUACGGGAGGCAGCAGUAAGGAAUAUUGGGCAAUGGACGCAAGUCUGACCCAGCCAUGCCGCGUGAAGGAUGAAUGUCCUAUGGAUUGUAAACUUCUUUUAUGCAGGAAAAAUAUCCCGGUCGUGAACCGGGACUGAUGGUACUGUAUGAAUAAGCAUCGGCUAACUCCGUGCCAGCCGCCGCUGUAA
rnacentral:rRNA from 1 species